rnacentral:tRNA from 1 species
GCAGAGGUGGUGGAAUCGGCAGACACGUACGUUUGAGGGGCGUAUGCUAAUUGAUGGCGUGAGGGUUCAAGUCCCUUCCUCUGCA